rnacentral:rRNA from 1 species
AACGAACGCUGGCGGCAGGCUUAACACAUGCAAGUCGAGCGCCCCGCAAGGGGAGCGGCAGACGGGUGAGUAACGCGUGGGAAUCUACCCAAUACUACGGAAUAGCUCCGGGAAACUGGAAUUAAUACCGUAUGUGCCCUACGGGGGAAAGAUUUAUCGGUAUUGGAUGAGCCCGCGUUGGAUUAGCUAGUUGGUGAGGUAAUGGCUCACCAAGGCGACGGUCCAUAGCUGGUCUGAGAGGAUGAUCAGCCACACUGGGACUGAGACACGGCCCAGACUCCUACGGGAGGCAGCAGUGGGGAAUAUUGGACAAUGGGCGAAAGCCUGAUCCAGCCAUGCCGCGUGAGUGAUGAAGGCCUUAGGGUUGUAAAGCUCUUUCACCGAUGAAGAUAAUGACGGUAGUCGGAGAAGAAGCCCCGGCUAACUUCGUGCCAGCCGCCGCAGUAAAAC